AGCUCAGGCAGAGCUGGAGGUGCCCAGGUAUGAAAGAGAAUCAGGAGCCAGUCCUGGGGGAGCCAUGAACCCUCUGCACAUGGAGUGGAGCUGGAGAGAUAUUUGUUGAUGCUUCAUUUAUGCCAGGAGACACUGGCUGGGUCCCUCCCAGGAAAAGGAAAAACACCAGCGAAGCCAGAACACUUCUGCUACACCCACUCCGGCUCCCCAAGCCUGGUCCUCCCAACAGCUUAGACAACCUUUCACUGUGACACUUUAAUAAUGUGUCUGCCAUUCACCACUUUUGCUUUUGAGGCUGGGAGGGCAGGGUUAACACUUACUUCUUUUUCUUUCUCCCAACAGACACUAAUUUUAUGCCAAUAGAAUUGUAUCUUACACUUGUUGAGUUGCCAGGUCGUGUCCAACUCUUUUGUGACCCCAUGCACUGUAGCCCACCAGGCUCCUCUGUCCAUGGGAUUUUCCAGGCAAGAAUACUGGAGUGGGUGGCCAUUUAUUUCUCAAGGGGAUCUUCCUAACCCAGGGAUCAAACUCGCAUCUUCUGCCUUGGCAGGUGGGUUCUUUACCACUGAGCCACCACAUGCUGUUUUUUUAAAUCUAUGAUAACCCUCUUUCCCAACCAGAUCGUCUCACCCAUCCCUGCCCAUAACCUCUCACCAGCCCUGUGACCUUGGGAGAAGCCAGCCCCACAUCUGAGCAUCACCUCUCUUUGAAAACUGAAGGCGUUAGCACCUCCCCCAGAUGUGAAAUAAGAUGGGGAUAUGAAAAUGCUUUGUGAGCUGAAAAGCUUGAGGAGGAAAGAGCCAAGUUCGUGUCCCAAACCAACAGCCCCUCAGCUCUGGUUCCACUAGGACUUCUGAGACCAGGGUCCCCAGGGGCUCAGCCAAGUCUUUGAUCACAAACACACACAAGCGCACAGGCGCACGUGCGUGCACAGUGCUCGUGCCCAGCUCCCUGAGUGUCCCUGGGGAAGGGACAGAUAAAGUGUCUCAUCCAACCCUAAGGCUCUCUGCUGCCUUCUGAACCUUCUUUGCUCCUCGCUGGUCUGUGCGGGUCCGCCAGACCCCUGCCAGGCAUCCAGAAGAAUCUCUGAAGGUCGAGCAGACCCAGGUCUUGGCCCCUUCACUCAUCUUCUGGGACCUGGAACUCCAAAGCCAGUGCCAGGAAGGCCCCACACAACCUCUGUUACCCUGCACAACCCUGUGAUGGAUAAUAGGAAUGGAUUUCUGCCCCAACAAAGCCAAAUUCAUAUGUGACUGAACCCGGAGCUUGCUGGAGCUGGAGAGAAACUCAGAAACCGUCAGGUCCUGUCUUCAAGGGUUGCCAGUCCUGCUCCGGACCCGCAGGAGCGGUCAGAUGGUGCAGGCCUGGGGUAAAGAGUGGGGGGACCUAGCAGGAUAGUGGAAAUUCAGGGUGCCUGUCCUAGGCAACUUCCUCUCCCCCCACCCCCUGUCCAGAAUGAGCUGGGAUGCCCAGCCAGGAGACAGAUGCCCUGGACGUGGUGCCACAUGCCAGAAGAGGGUAGUCGGGUGGAGGGGGACACAAUGGCUGUGUCCGUCUCCGCGCCUGGCCCUCUCAGGUGUCGCCCCCAUGUGUUUGCUUAUGGCCACUGUAGCCUCUGAGGCAUACUCCCCCUGUGGAUGGGAAUUUCAAAAAUUCCAGCUGCCAAAGGAAGCUUCCCAGGUGGCACUAGUGGUAAAGAAGCCACCUGCCAAUGCAGGAGAUGUGAAAGAUCCGAGUUCG
ensembl:lncRNA